rnacentral:lncRNA from 1 species
AAUUAAUUUGUAUAUAACCAAUUGAAAUGUUUGGUGAGCCACUAUUCUACUUUAUAUCGAUGUGUACGGUUGAAAUGUUUUGACCGCAUGUCAAUUUGUGUUGUUAUUAAUAAAGUGGAUCAAAUAUGUUACCAUUAAAAAUUAAGUCAAUGCAAUGUUUACGUAAAUAGUAAAAAACAAAAAGAGAUAAUUAUGCUUAAUAUGAAGCUUAAACUAAGUUAAUACAACAAAAUAAAUUGAAUAUGAACAAAAUGAAAUUAUAUCCCAACUAUUCACACGGUAUUUGAUUUUGAAUUAUAUAAUAGAUUUACAUCUUAUAUUGCUACCAUAUUCAUCUGUCCUUCUAUCCGAGACGAAUAAAAAUUGUGUUCAGACAAUUACUGAGCACUAAAGCCCUCCGAAAAAAUAACCAUGCUACUCGCAAU